rnacentral:rRNA from 1 species
UACGUAGGGGGCAAGCGUUGUCCGGAAUCAUUGGGCGUAAAGAGCGUGUAGGCGGCCCGAUAAGUCCGCUGUGAAAGUCCAGGGCUCAACCCUGGGAUGCCGGUGGAUACUGUCGGGCUCGAGUCCGGAAGAGGAGUGUGGAAUUCCUGGUGUAGCGGUGAAAUGCGCAGAUAUCGUGAGGAAGACCAGUGGCGAAGGCGGGUCUCUGGACAGUUCCUGACGCUGAGGCGCGAAGGCCAGGGGAGCAAACGGG